AGUAAAUACCAUUCAGAUUGCA
rnacentral:miRNA from 2 species